UUCGGGUGGGGAUUAGUGGCGAACGGGUGAGUAACACGUGGGCAAUCUGCCCUUCACUCUGGGACAAGCCCUGGAAACGGGGUCUAAUACCGGAUACUGACCUGCCAAGGCAUCUUGGCGGGUCGAAAGCUCCGGCGGUGAAGGAUGAGCCCGCGGCCUAUCAGCUUGUUGGUGAGGUAAUGGCUCACCAAGGCGACGACGGGUAGCCGGCCUGAGAGGGCGACCGGCCACACUGGGACUGAGACACGGCCCAGACUCCUACGGGAGGCAGCAGUGGGGAAUAUUGCACAAUGGGCGAAAGCCUGAUGCAGCGACGCCGCGUGAGGGAUGACGGCCUUCGGGUUGUAAACCUCUUUCAGCAGGGAAGAAGCGAAAGUGACGGUACCUGCAGAAGAAGCGCCGGCUAACUACGUGCCAGCAGCCGCGGUAAUACGUAGGGCGCAAGCGUUGUCCGGAAUUAUUGGGCGUAAAGAGCUCGUAGGCGGCUUGUCACGUCGGUUGUGAAAGCCCGGGGCUUAACCCCGGGUCUGCAGUCGAUACGGGCAGGCUAGAGUUCGGUAGGGGAGAUCGGAAUUCCUGGUGUAGCGGUGAAAUGCGCAGAUAUCAGGAGGAACACCGGUGGCGAAGGCGGAUCUCUGGGCCGAUA
rnacentral:rRNA from 1 species